rnacentral:misc_RNA from 1 species
UGGGCACAAGGUCGGUUGGAAAAAGGCUCUUCAUUCCUUGAAUGAGCGGUUUUCCAAUGUUGCUGAACGUAGCAAAGAGGAAAACCGGCCUUGUAUUCUACUUAUAGAUGAACUGGAUCUCCUAGUUACCAGAAAUCAAGCGGUUUUAUAUAACAUUCUUGAUUGGCCUACCAAGCCACAUUCCAAACUGAUUGUUAUAGGUAUUGCAAAUACUAUGGAUCUUCCGGAGAAGUUGCUUCCGAG